rnacentral:misc_RNA from 1 species
UCAACCGUAGCGGCCUCACCGGCGGCGAGAAUAUCUGUGAGAGCCGUCAUGGCUUUGACCUGCAUCUGCAAAGCCGCGACAUAAUCACUCGCUUCCUCUAAAAGACUGGUAAACGACGCCUUCCUGCAACCAGGAACCAACCGGCUCAAAACACGCACUCUGUCCUCCAAAACAGGCGACCUCCUGUUCCCUCUCGCCACCUCCUUCCUACUCAACCGGCUCUCUUCUGUUACCUUCACUUUCCUAACCUUUUUAACCCUCCUCAACCUGAGCCUUCCCGCCAGAAUUGCACGGCUCCACCGGGUCGUGCCUUUUGCUGCUACAGCAAGGACUCUGUCGGCAGUUUCUCUGAUUACUCGGCCUUUCGCAGCCGGCGUAGUCGAGUUGGUACGGCGAGAUCGGCGGAGAGCUUCGAGAAGCUUGGAGGAAU